rnacentral:rRNA from 1 species
AUUGAACGCUGGCGGCAUGCCUUACACAUGCAAGUCGAACGGCAGCAUGAUCUAGCUUGCUAGAUUGAUGGCGAGUGGCGAACGGGUGAGUAAUACGUCGGAACGUGCCCUGUAGUGGGGGAUAACUAGUCGAAAGAUUAGCUAAUACCGCAUACGACCUGAGGGUGAAAGUGGGGGACCGCAAGGCCUCAUGCUAUAGGAGCGGCCGAUGUCUGAUUAGCUAGUUGGUGAGGUAAAGGCUCACCAAGGCGACGCUCAGUAGCUGGUCUGAGAGGAAGAUCAGCCACACUGGGACUGAGACACGGCCCAGACUCCUACGGGAGGCAGCAGUGGGGAAUUUUGGACAAUGGGGGCAACCCUAAUCCAACAAUGCCGCGUGUGUGAAGAAGGCCUUCGGGUUGUAAAGCACUUUUGUCCGGAAAGAAAUCGCACUUACUAAUAUUAGGUGUGGAUGACGGUACCGGAAGAAUAAGGACCGGCUAACUACGUGCCAGCCGCCGCCGUAAUAC